rnacentral:rRNA from 1 species
CGGGGGGAGCAAGCGUUGUUCGGAUUUACUGGGCGUAAAGGGCGCGUAGGCGGCGCAACAAGUCACUUGUGAAAUCUCCGGGCUUAACUCGGAGCGGCCAAGUGAUACUGUCGUGCUAGAGUGCGGAAGGGGCAACUGGAAUUCUCGGUGUAGCGGUGAAAUGCGUAGAUAUCGAGAGGAACACCUGCGGCGAAGGCGGGUUGCUGGGCCGACACUGACGCUGAGGCGCGAAGGCCAGGGGAGCGAACGGGAUUAGGUACCCCGGUAGUCCUGGCCUUAAACGAUGGAUGCUUGGUGUCCGGGGUCACAUAGUCCCCGGGUGCCGUCGCUAACGCCUUAAGCAUCCCGCCUGGGGAGUACGCGCGCAAGUGUG